rnacentral:rRNA from 1 species
UGGGGAAUAUUGGACAAUGGGGGCAACCCUGAUCCAGCAACGCCGCGUGAGUGAUGAAGGUCUUCGGAUUGUAAAGCUCUUUUGGCAGGGACGAUGAUGACGGUACCUGCAGAAUAAGCUCCGGCUAACUUCGUGCCAGCAGCCGCGGUAAUACGAAGGGAGCAAGCGUUGUUCGGAUUUACUGGGCGUAAAGGGUGCGUAGGCGGUUUGGUAAGUUGGAUGUGAAAUCCCUGGGCUUAACCCGGGAACUGCAUUCAAAACUCCCAGACUUGAGUAUGGAAGAGGUUGGUGGAAUUCCAAGUGUAGAGGUGAAAUUCGUAGAUAUUUGGAAGAACACCCGUGGCGAAGGCGGCCAACUGGUCCAUAACUGACGCUGAGGCACGAAAGCGUGGGGAGCAAACAGG